rnacentral:sRNA from 1 species
GGACGCGCGGCACGCCGGUCCUGGCUACAGGCGCGGCGUUUGAAGAAAAACUGUCACUGAAGAGUCAUGGUGGGGCCCGGGCGUACCGCUGCUGCCGCUGUCGAAGAGCGGCAGAGAAAGCUUCAGGAGUACCUUGCAGCCAAGGGAAAACUGAAGAGCCAAAACACCAAGCUAUUAGACCCAAAAAUGAUGUUACCAACCAUGUUGUUUUGCCUGUCAAACCUAAAAGGUCCAUCAGCAUUAAACUCCAGCCCAGACCACCUAAUACUGCAGGGUCCCAGAAGCCGAAGUUGGAGCCACCAAAACUUCUGGGCAAAAGGCUGACUUCAGAAUGUGUUUCUUCUAACCCGUACUCUAAGCCUUCUAGCAAGAGUUUUCAACAGUGUGAAGCUGGAUCGUCCACAACAGGAGAACUGUCAAGAAAACCUGUG